rnacentral:rRNA from 1 species
GACGAACGCUGGCGGCGUGCCUAAUACAUGCAAGUCGAGCGGACGGAUGGGAGCUUGCUCCCAGACCGUCAGCGGCGGACGGGUGAGUAACACGUGGGCAACCUGCCUGUAAGACUGGGAUAACUCCGGGAAACCGGGGCUAAUACCGGAUAACUCUUUCCCUCACAUGAGGGAAAGCUGAAAGAUGGCAUCUCGCUAUCACUUACAGAUGGGCCCGCGGCGCAUUAGCUAGUUGGUGAGGUAACGGCUCACCAAGGCGACGAUGCGUAGCCGACCUGAGAGGGUGAUCGGCCACACUGGGACUGAGACACGGCCCAGACUCCUACGGGAGGCAGCAGUGGGGAAUCUUCCGCAAUGGACGAAAGUCUGACGGAGCAACGCCGCGUGAGUGAUGAAGGUUUUCGGAUCGUAAAACUCUGUUGUCAGGGAAGAACAAGUACCGGAGUAACUGCCGGUACCUUGACGGUACCUGACCAGAAAGCCACGGCUAACUACGUG